UGUGGAUAUUUUAGACAGCAUUGACCUACAAUGAUGUGCAUGUGAAUUUCACUCGAGAAGAGUGGGCUUUGCUGGAUCCUUCCCAGAGGAAUCUCUACAAAGAUGUAAUGCUGGAGACCUACAGGAACCUCACUGCUAUAGGCUACAAUUGGGAAAGUCAUAAUAUAGAAGAGCAUUGUCAAAGUUCUAGAAGAUAUGCAAGGUAUGAAAACAAUCAUUGUGCCGACAAAUUCCCUUAAGAUACUCAAUAUGAAGUCUUUGCACAUCACAGUAGUCCCCACACAUGUAUGCAUACUGGUGCAGAUCACUAUGAAUGUAGCCAAUAUGGUAAUGCCUUUGCACAGAAAAGUCAUGUCCUAAGACUCAAAAGGAUACAAUGUAGAGAGCCCUCAUAAAUGUAACCAAUGUGGUAAAGCCAAAGCAUCUAAAAGUGAUCUCCUAAGACAUGAAGGAACUCAAACAGGAGAAAAACCUUAUGAAUGUAACCAAUGUGGUAAAGACUUUGCAUGUGACAGUGAUCUCCAAAAUCA